rnacentral:lncRNA from 1 species
UAAGAAUAAAUAUUAAUAAAAUGAUUACAUAGUUGGUGAAAAGGUAAUUGGGCGGCAAGGCUAGAGAAAGGAUCAGCAGAUGCCGGCAACCCAGGUAGCAACCAUCUGGCUGCAUUAUUACGCCAAUAAAUUUGCGGAGAAGCAACCAGAUAAGUCAAACCUUCACCUUCCUCCAUGUCCAACAAAAGCACCAUUGUAUGAAAUGUACAAGGAUGACAUGGAGGAGCACGGAGAGCAGAUAAUAUAAGUAAAAUAUAAGACCUUUGAUGAAUUUAGAGUAAUACUUAGGAAAAUUGAACGAAAACAUAUAGUAGAUAACCCAUCAUUGAAAACCAACACUAAAAACAUAUGUAAGAAAUCAACAAAAACUGAAGGUGAGGAAACAGAGCCAGAUUUGAAAGUACUUAUACAGCAGAUAAACACUAGAUUAGAAAA